rnacentral:rRNA from 1 species
UAAGAGGCGAACACAACGGAAGCAGAACCGACCGACGGGGGAGGAUCGUGAAGAGCACCGUGCGGCACCAGGUUGGUCUGCACGCGUGAUAGAUUAGAGAGGAGCGAGUGACCUGGUUUUGAUGAUCAGGUGGGAAAGCAGAGAAUGGAGGUCGCGGCGGGUUUUGACGGCGGCGGACGAGUUGAGGCCGGCCACGUUAAAGUGGCUGCCCCUUGGCAAACGGCGUAGGUGACCUCUACGAGACUGUUGUCUACGUGUUGAGCAGACGAUCCCGCUCUCUCUCCCCGAGCGUACAUCUGAUCGAUCGAUCCCCAUGUAGCCCUACCUCCAACGCCACCAGCAGCCGGGCUAUCACUUCGAGGACGGCUUCGAGGAUAGCCACCAUCUACCCUUUGCCUUCGUCGACCUGUUGGACCUCCACCUGCGGCCCAAGUAGGCCGCGCUGGACGUCAGCUAGGUUCUUUAGUAACCGGCGAGGUCACCGCCGUCUAGGUAGUGCCUGGAGACCCAGGCUCUAGAGUCCGCGGACCGCCUGCUGUACCUUCUGACGUAGCUGGCUAAGGUCCAGCCCUUCUACUCGUCUUAGGCAAAGCAGCCUUUCUAGCCGUUUGACUUCUUCGCCAGUUUCCUCUGAGAGCUCGUCGAUGUCUUGACGUAGUCGUAGCGACCGCGGCGGCGUGGACUAGGGGGGCGACGUCCACCCCCGUGGCUCCUAGGCCUCCUCGUCGAUGAACGAGACGAACGCGCCUCGGGUAGCCUCCCUUUGGAGUUCCACUAGAGGCAGCGGCCGAAGCCACCUCGUCCAUACUGAGCGGAACGGGUGUUCCACAUGUCGUUGUCCCUACACGAGUCGGUCAAGGGAGACGUGCGAACCCAAGCACGUCGCGGGCCGUACUCACACGUGUUCGAAGAAGUCUUUUAUGUACUGGUCGACGACGAUUAAUCAUACCGGUUCUUAGUACCACGGUGACGGAGGUCGAGGUUUUAGUUUGGUGUUCGGUUGCCUCUGCUGCGGCUUGUACGAAGCUGACUGGUGGCCGAGUGGCCUAAUGAGUUCUGGCCUUCCAUAAACUAACACUAACUACCGCACUUAUGCGUACUGAACAUGCUGCACGAUAGACGGAAGAGAACCCGACUACCUCACCUACCGUCUUAAUAGUACUGCCGCCGUUAAGUCGACGGUCUUCGUUGUACGACGUCUACACCGUUGCCAAGUGGUGAGCGGUACCUAUCGUGUUCGGUCCAAAAGUAACCUCUCGACUGUCUCUGACCUAAACACCUCCGGACGGAGGUAGAAGCACUGCUGUGUGAUCGUUCUUACGUUGCGUCGUUGUUGCUCUAGGAUAGUUCAGGGUAACAGGUCCUGAAUAACGACAUAAAGACGUACAAGGGUGCGCUAGUAGGACAGUCCUCCUUAGGGGACUAUUCCGCUACCGACCGACUUCCUGAACACAAAGGAGUUGGUCUUUGUCUCUCAAAAAGCGUCCUACAACGUCGGUUCUUAAACCUCUCGGAGUAGUGGGCGUUACAGUAAGUCGGGUAAGUUCACUCCUUGAUACCUUUACACUUCUCUACGGUUUGAAAACCCUACUACGAAUUGAGGUAAAGGUCGUUUAGGUUCAGUGUCUUGAAGUAGUGGUACGACACACCAUCGCCGGUCUGCUGCCUCUCCUCAGGCCGACCGUUCCUCUAAGCGGCCGAAAGGGAGGUAGAAUUGCCACGCCGUUUACCCGGUGACUUAAACGGUUUCCUUAAUAGAGCAGAGGUAUGAAACCGUCAUAAGGGACUACUACGUUUACAGCGGUCCGUAGUCCGAUUAAACUUAAUACGGUUCAUAUUCGAUGAGGCUCAAAACCUAGAGUUUCUUACACGACUACACUUUCGUCUUGUACAGCCCUUUUAUACACUGGACAACGACGAGUUUAUAGACUCGGAGCCCCUGUCAUAACUGUUCCAAGGCUCCUUUUAUCGCUUCGAUUUUACCAAUCUCUGAGAGCUGUACUCCUCUUGGGUCCAUCACUGCGAUGGUUAACUUCAGGAGGUCGAGGGACCCAACUUUGUGGAGGAACCCUUCAAAGUCGAUCGACUUCCACUGACGUGUGUCUUCUUCGAUCUCUCCGAGUACAGUUUUCUAUCACUUGAAGUCUCCGAAAGGCCUAAACAGUGGCUGUUUUCGCUUCCCAAACGCGUCGACUACUCAGCGUACCCCUUCAACUCCUUCCACUUUUAUACCACGCUAAGGUGGCGUCUACACUGCUUUGACCAAGUACAAAAUCCUCGGUGUUUCUUUAAGUAACCACCUCCGGACCUAUACUGUUCUCAGCUAGCAAGAAACAGAUAGCUGAAGGUUCCUACGGGUUGCCUUACGAGUCUUGUUAAGUACCUAAGAGACUUUCGAUGUCCGGCAGAAUGGAGUGAGUUUAACGCUCCGUUCGACUGCGUUGAGGGAGUCAAGGCACGUUUCGACUUGAUGUAGCUCCUCAACACGGAGAGUUCCUGAUUAGACUCGCCACUGUGUUAGGAUUCAUCGGACAGACCUGACUUUUACUGUGACUUUAUAGAGUUCGACCAUCUUCUGUCCGAACCAGUGAACCAGUAUUUUGGUCUCGUAAAGGCUUCGAACUUCCCCAAUACGGAGCACCCGCUCGUUUCAGACCUCCCGUAUUGUUAGGUUCUACUUCGAUACGGGAUGGAACACAGUGAAGUAUAUGAAACACUUCGAGAUCCACUAGAAGGUCCUUAGCUGUAGUGUGCGUACCGUUCCGAUUUUCUUCAGCGCGAGGUAAGACCUCAUGUUCUAUGCUAUUUCCUACCCACCGUUCGUCGACGUUACUUGGUAGGAUUAUCCGGGUUGCAAAACAAAUAGGUAGUACGAUUGAGCAGCGGAUCUCUGAGAGGCGGCACACUUCGUUGUCCCCUAUAACAUUUAGCCUGGUUUGGACAACCCUCUUUUAAGCGGCGGAGGUAGUACCCCCCGUAGAAAAGAGCACGUGCCGGUUCUAGGACUACGUGACUUCGUUCAGCGUAGCUAGUACUCGUUUUGAAAAAGGUUGGUAAGCGGCUAACUACUACACACACGACGUAUAUGGACCGGUACCCUUCGGGCCGGGCCGGCCGGGCCGGGCUUUUUCGGACUGGGCCGGGCCGGGCUGCGACGGGGGCCCGGCCCGAGCCCGGAUCUAAAACUCGGGCUUCCAGCCCGGCCCGGCCCAGGCCCGGCAGUAAACACGCGAAAGGACUUCCAGCCCGGCCCGGCCGGGCUUCGGGCUGCCCGAAAAUCCACAAGCCCGGCCCGAGCCCGGGUUUUUUGUCCGGGCAACCAACCCGGCCCGGCCCGGACCCGGACCCAAAAAACGCAGCCCGAACCGAUCCGGGUCGGGCCGGGCUCCAUACCGGUCCAUAUCACGACGUGCUACGCCGGAAGCCCUCCACACUGAAGAGGAAACGCUCCACCGACGACCACCACUCAUCUCACUCUACUACGUAGGAGAAGCACUACUAACUACUACAGUACUAUUCUUUAAAUGCUCACUUAAGGCGGCUAUUGCAAAGUACCGUUCUUGCCUCGGUCGGUAUGUCCAUGUAACACAUCUCUACAACGACUAAUCUCUCAAACAAUUAAACUAAGCUAUUACUCAAAUAUGUUACCUUGUCGGUGUGAAGAGAUAAAACGUUUACGUAGCUUAUUUCC